GCCCCUUAAAUUUCAGAAUAAUCCUUGACAACUAUUAUUCGCAAUAAAUCAAUUUGGUUGUCACAAGGCACAGUGAGGUCGCGAUACAGGAUUGAAUGAGCUAGGGUCUGCGAUUCCCAAAAUCUGAGGUCGCAAAUGAGGAUUGAGUGAGCUCGCGGUAAGGCAAGUGGCAUAGGCGCCCCGCGAGGCAGGAGAGACAAAGCUGGGGAAGAAGAGGAUUCAGAAACACGCAUGAAGGGACGCAGACAGGGAGGGGCCGAGAGGCUGAGCAGUGGGCAAUCGACUUCGAGUAAGGGUUGCUACUGCUUAGGGCCUUCUCACCGUUUUUUUGUCUACUUGGUGCCGGCUGCUGAGCAUCUG
rnacentral:misc_RNA from 1 species